rnacentral:tRNA from 1 species
GUUCCCGCAGGUCACAGUCCCACCCAGGGAAGACCCCUAAGUGGGUGUCGCAGGUUCGAAUCCUGCCGGGGGCA